GGAAGCACGUCCUGCUCUGGUGAUGGGCCCGGUCUUCAAAACCGGUGGUGUCGGCGCCUUCGCGUCGCACGGGAGGUUCGAUUCCUCUGUGCUUCC
rnacentral:tRNA from 1 species